rnacentral:rRNA from 1 species
AUGGCGGACGCGGACGCCGACGCCGACGUCUGCGCCAUCUGCCUCGGCGGCAUGGUCCGCGGCCAGGCCGGCUUCACGGCCGAGUGCUCCCACGCCUUCCACCUCCGCUGCAUCUCCGCCAGCGUCGCGCACGGCAACCACGACUGCCCGCUCUGCAAGGCGCCCUGGACCGUCCUCCCCGCCGUCAACGCCCCACCGCCGUCGUCGUCGUCGUCUUCCCGGCAGGUGCGACGCACGUACCAGGACGACGAGCCGACCGUCCCCGCACAGGCCGCGGCGGCAAAUAAUGGCGGAUCAGGAGCCGGGGUGGUCCUCAGGACGCACUGCGAGUUCCCGGCCCUGGCCAGGGGCGCGGCCCGCGAGCACUUCGCCGUGCUCGUGCACGCCAAGGCGCCGUCCUCCGAGGCGGCGCGCGCGUCGCUCGACCUCGUGACCGUGCUCGACGUCAGCGGCAGCAUGGCCGGCAGCAAGCUGGCUCUGCUCAAGAAGGCCAUGGGGUUCGUCAUCGACAACCUCGGCCCGGCCGACCGCCUCUCCGUCGUGUCCUUCUCCAACAACGCCAGCCGCCUGAUCCGCCUCUCGCGCAUGUCCGACACGGGGAAAGCCGCGGCGAAGCAGGCCGUGGGGUCCCUCGUCGCGAACGGCGCCACGAACAUCGGCGAGGGCCUCCGCGUGGCUGCCGACGUGCUUGACUGCCGCCGGCACGUGAACGCCGUCGCCAGUAUCAUGCUUCUCUCCGAUGGGCAGGACACGUACACCGCGGCUGGCGGAGACGCCGCCGACUACAUCACCCUGGGGUACAACGGCGCGGGAGUCCGGCCUCCGGCGGUUCACACGUUCGGUUUCGGCACGGACCACGACGCGGCGGCCAUGCACACCAUCGCGGAGGCCACGGGUGGCACGUUUUCCUUCAUCCAGAACCAGGCGAUCGUCCAGGACGCGUUCGCGCAGUGCAUCGGUGGGCUCCUCACGGUCGUCGUGCAGGAGGCGCGUCUCGCGGUGACAUGCUUGCAUCCGGGCGUGCGCGUCCGCGAGGUCAAGUCCGGCCGCUACGACAGCCACGUGGACGACGAUGGCCGUGCUUCCUCGGUGGACGUCGGCGAGCUCUACGCCGACGAGGAGAGGCGCUUCUUGAUACUCAUGGACGUGCCAACGGCCGAAGACGCUGAAGAAGUCACCGGCCUGGUCAAGGUGAGCUGCACAUACCAGGAUGCGGCGACAGGGCAGGCGGCCACCGUCGACGGAGACGACGCGGUGGUCCAGAGGCCCGUCGAGGUGACCGGGGUGGAGCCGUCCAUGGAGGUGGAGCGCGAGCGCCUCCGGGUGGCGGCAACCGAAGACAUGGCGGCGGCACGCGAGGCGGCUGAUCGCGGAGAACAUGCCGAGGGCGGACGGAUACUGCGGAGACGAGUGGCGGCUAUGAAGUGCUCGGCGCGCGCUCACAAAGACCUUGACUGCGAGGAGCUGGAGGACGAAAUGCACGACUACAUCGGUCUCGUGGAAGACAGGCAGCAGUACCAGAAGUUUGGGCACGCGCGCAUCCUGUCGGGCAUGAGCUCGCACCGGAAGCAGCGCGCCGCCACGGUGGGGAAGGCGCCUGGCAGUGGUCGGGCGGCUUACGCGACUCCGGCAAUGAAGAAGAUGGUGGACAAGUCACGCGAGCAGCGGCAGACCGCAGCGGCGCCGGCGCCACAGCCGAAGAGGAAGCACGGCAGAGGGCAGCAGCCAGACAGCAAGAGCGGCACAGGGAAACGUCACAAAAAGCAUUAA